UAAAAGAUUUUCUUACUCAGUUUUACUUCCCUCUCGGUCCUCUUCUCUGGUAUCUAUGCACCUUUCCUUCCCCUCAACAAAAGCUUAUUCCCAAUUCCAUUGUAGGAAAAUCGCCUGAUGCUCUUCUCACUCUUGGCGGUUGGAAACCCUGGCCACUCUCCCUUUCCUCUGUAGGCGCAGGCGCAAUUCUAAUUGAGUUCAAUGGAGUGAUGUAUGUUUGCUCGUUUUACUGAGUUCUUGUAGAAGUAGCUUCCGUAAUCCCUGUGGUGUGUCUGCUGCCUCCAAACUACGUAGGGCAUCUUACAUAACUUAAAAGUACAGAUCUUACAAAAGAUUUUCUGUUAUGUAUGGUGAUGUUCCGAGGAGCAUUGCUAGUGGCAAUGCCAAUAUGCAACCUGAUCCUGGAGUUACGAAGUUGUGGUUGCAGCUACUUGUGAUAUGGGCAUUGGGAAGGAUGAGAAGUUACCAUGGAGAUUGCCAUCUGAUGUUCUUACCUUAAUUUUUUCGAGGAGCUUACUUUUACCACAUCAAAUCCAGGGAAAAAAAAUGCAGUAGUGAUGGGUAGGAAAACAUGGCAGAGCAUUCCCCUGAGGUACAGACCUCUACAGGGAUGCUUGAAUGUUGUGCUGACUUGUUCUGGAAGUUUUGAUAUCACAGUUGCAAAAAAUGUUGUAAUGCGUGGAAAGCAUUCCACAAGCUUUGGAAUUAUUGGCUGAAGUACCUUUGCUGUUUCUCAGUUGAGAGGGUGUUUGUUUUAGGAGGUGGUCAGAUACUGAGCUAAUGUGCUUCUUAAUGAAUAAAUUGCAUGCUAGUAUAGCAUCUGUCCAUAUGGCAAAUAUUGAUAUCUUUUUAAUACAGGGAAACAAUUAAUGCUCUACGAUGUGAUGCCAUCUACAUUUCUGAAAUUGAGGUGAGCAUUGAAUGUGGUACCUUCAUUCCAGCUAUUGAUUCUUCUUCAUUUCAACCUUGGUUCUUCAGGAGACUACGUUGAGGGAACCACUUGACUCGAAAAAUCACAUUACUUACACCUUUUGUCUGUACAAACAUAACUGCUGUAUCUGUUUUCCUAGUAUUGGCCUGAAAGAUAGAGAAGAGGAUACUGAGGACCCAUAUAUGGCUUCCAUUGGAGACCCUCUGAUGCCAGGCCAAGGAUUUGAUCAACAGAUGUUAGUGACAAGAACAGGAAUAGAACAGAUGACAGGUGUAUUAUCCUCACAGUAUGGAAUCCAUCAGAUCUCAAAUUACUGGCACUUCCACCUUUUCAUAUGUUUGCACAG